rnacentral:rRNA from 1 species
CGGUCAUCCACACCGAAAAAAAUCCUACUGCCAAUGCGGUCGUUGCAAUUAUGUUUUUGUAAAGUUCCAAAGCCUUCGAAUCAUCCACAAUUCUCUUGACCUUUCUCCAAAUACUCAAAGACUCCUGUGCAAUCUGAAAAGCCUCAUUGCGUUCUGCGAACCUUUUGUCCUUUUCUUUUUCAUUCGGAACAUGAUCUAAUUGUACCAAAUCAAAUAACUUCUUUGCUUUUCUGUAAAAUUUUCCUGUACUAUCUACUUCCAAAAGCUUUUUCUCGUUCACUUCCGGCACUCCGUUUCGAUAUGUAUAUGCCAGUGCCGUGUUAUCACGGUCUGGCCAUAUAUACUCGUCUACAUCUUCCAGCGAAGUCUUUUUGCCUUUCCUGGUAUUGCAAUAUUUGCAUCCCAAAAGCAGAUUAUUCCAAUCAGUUCUGUCUCCACCAUUUGCCUUUGAAGCAAUAUGUUCUACCUCUGGAACAUGUUUUAUUGGGAAUUCACAGUAGGAACAGUACCCUCCUAAUCGUUUUUCCAAAUAGGGUAAUGCCUCCGAGUAAUCAUUAAUUUUCUGAUAAGGUGAUUUUCCUUUAUUCACUGGUCUCAUUGUGUUCUACUUCACACUUUCUCAACUCGAAUUUUUGACGCAUCAGCGCAAGAUACGCAGGAUUGUCGCUGUAAUUUGCCUCUAAAACUGCCAGUUUUUUGCCAAGUUCUUCGAUGUCCUUCUGUGUCUUUCCCUCUUUUACCGCAUCAUAGAACUCAGCCGCCGCAUCAUACAUCUUUCGUUUCUUUUCGCUAUACUGAGGCAUUUUUACACCCAUAACGUCUUCCGCUAUAUCUUCUAUUCCUUCUCCGGCAUAUUCACUAUCCAAUUUUCGAUCCAGCGUAAUCAGUUCUCCAUCCUCUAAUGACUGGAUGAUAAAUGGGGAAUGUGUUGCACAUAUGAACUGAAUUUUCGGAAACAGAUUCUUCAAAAUGCCUAUGAUUUUUUUCUGCCAUGUAGGAUGCAAGCUCAAAUCAAGUUCAUCUAUCACUACCACUCCUGGUGUCUUUUGUAGUGCAUCUCCUUGAAGAUAAGGGUUUAAAAUGCACAUACGUGUAGCGAUUUCCAGAAUAAUUUUAAUUACGUUUCUAUAGCCAUCACUCAAGGUACUAAAAGGAAGUACCGAAGCAGUGGGAUCAUAUAAUGAUCGGUAGGGGAGCAUUCCACUCUGCGUCGAAGGUGGGGCGUGAGCCCUGCUGGAGCGUGUGGAAAAGCAAAUGUAGGUAUAAGUAACGAUAAAGGGGGUGAGAAACCCCCUCGCCGAAAGACUAAGGUUUCCUGAUCAACGCUAAUCGGAUCAGGGUCAGUCGGGUCCUAAGGCUCAGCCGAACGGCGAGGCCGAUGGCAGAACCGGUUAAUAUUCCGGUACUACCUGUGGGAGUGACGUGGAGACGGAGUCGUGACAGCGCCGCGGACUGACGGAAUAGUCCGUUGAAGGGUGUAGAUGCUGAUUGUUCCAGGCAAAUCCGGAGCAAGAGUCGAACCUGAUAGUAUGGAGCGUUCUUAGAACAAUCCAAUAGUGCGUGUAAUCAUACUUCCAAGAAAAUCCGCUAAACUUAAUCCUGCAGGUACCCGUACCGCAAACGGACACACGUAGUCGGGUUGAAUAUACUAAGGCGCUUGAGUGAUUCACGGUUAAGGAACUAGGCAAACUGACCCUGUAACUUCGGGAUAAAGGGUCCCUACCCUUUUAUGGGAGGGCGCAGAGAAUCGGUCCAGGCAACUGUUUAACAAAAACACAGGGCUGUGCCAAAUCGAAAGAUCCAGUAUACAGCCUGACACCUGCCCGGUGCUGGAAGGUUAAGAGGAGAUGUCAUCGAUAAGAGAAGCGUUGAAUUGAAGCCCCAGUAAACGGCGGCCGUAACUAUAACGGUCCUAAGGUAGCGAAAUUCCUUGUCGGGUAAGUUCCGACCUGCACGAAUGGUGUAAUGAUCCGGACGCUGUCUCAACCAUGAGCUCAGUGAAAUUGUAGUAUCGGUGAAGAUGCCGAUUACCCGCGAUGGGACGAAAAGACCCCGUGAACCUUUACUAUAGCUUAUCAUUGAAUUUGGGCACGUGAUGUGUAGGAUAGGUCGGAGGCUUUGAAGCAGGCACGCCAGUGUUUGUGGAGCCGCUGUUGAAAUACGACCCUUCAUUUGUUUGAGUUCUAACUCGUGAAACGAGGACACUGAUUGGUGGGUAGUUUGACUGGGGUGGUCGCCUCCAAAAGUGUAACGGAGGCUUCUAAAGGUGCCCUCACGACGAUUGGUAACCGUCGGCAGAGUGUAAUGGCAUAAGGGCGCUUGACUGGGAGACUUACAAGUCGAUCAGGUAGGAAACUAGAGCAUAGUGAUCCGGUGUUUCUGUAUGGAAAGGACAUCGCUCAAAGGAUAAAAGGUACUCCGGGGAUAACAGGCUGAUCCCUCCCA